rnacentral:rRNA from 1 species
AUUGAACGCUGGCGGCAUGCCUUACACAUGCAAGUCGGACGGCAGCGCGGGAGCAAUCCUGGCGGCGAGUGGCGAACGGGUGAGUAAUACAUCGGAACAUGUCCAGUAGUGGGGGAUAGCCCGGCGAAAGCCGGAUUAAUACCGCAUACGAUCUAUGGAUGAAAGCGGGGGAUCGCAAGACCUCGCGCUAUUGGGGUGGCCGAUGGCGGAUUAGCUAGUUGGUGGGGUAAAGGCCUACCAAGGCGACGAUCCGUAGCUGGUCUGAGAGGACGACCAGCCACACUGGGACUGAGACACGGCCCAGACUCCUACGGGAGGCAGCAGUGGGGAAUUUUGGACAAUGGGGGCAACCCUGAUCCAGCAAUGCCGCGUGUGUGAAGAAGGCCUUCGGGUUGUAAAGCACUUUUGUCCGGGAAGAAAUCCCCUGCCCUAAUACGGCGGGGGGAUGACGUACCGAAGAAUAGCCC